CCUACGGGAGGCAGCAGUGAGGAAUAUUGGACAAUGGACGAAAGUCUGAUCCAGCUAUGCCGCGUGCAGGAUGACGGCCCUAUGGGUUGUAAACUGCUUUUAUACAGGAAGAAAAACUCCGACGUGUCGGAACUUGACGGUACUGUAAGAAUAAGGAUCGGCUAACUCCGUGCCAGCAGCCGCGGUAAUACGGAGGAUCCAAGCGUUAUCCGGAAUCAUUGGGUUUAAAGGGUCCGUAGGCGGUUUUUUAAGUCAGAGGUGAAAUCCUGCAGCUCAACUGUAGAAUUGCCUUUGAUACUGAAAGACUUGAGUUAUUGUGAAGUGGUUAGAAUGUGUGGUGUAGCGGUGAAAUGCAUAGAUAUCACACAGAAUACCAAUUGCGAAGGCAGAUCACUAACAAUAUACUGACGCUCAGGGACGAAAGCGUGGGUAGCGAACAGGAUUAGAUACCCUGGUAGUCCACGCCGUAAACGAUGGAUACUAGCUGUAUGUCUACUUCAGGUAGAUGUGUGGCUAAACGAAAGUGAUAAGUAUCCCACCUGGGGAGUACGAUCGCAAGAUUGAAACUCAAAGGAAUUGACGG
rnacentral:rRNA from 1 species